rnacentral:tRNA from 1 species
ACCGAAAUAGCUCAGUUGGGAGAUCGUUAAACUAUAGAUCGAAAGGUCUCUGGUUCGAACUCAGGUUCCGGCA